UGGGGAAUAUUGGGCAAUGGGCGCAAGCCUGACCCAGCAACGCCGCGUGAAGGAAGAAGGCUUUCGGGUUGUAAACUUCUUUUAUUAAGGACGAAAUCAAUGACGGUACUUAAUGAAUAAGCUCCGGCUAACUACGUGCCAGCAGCCGCGGUAAUACGUAGGGAGCAAGCGUUAUCCGGAUUUACUGGGUGUAAAGGGCGUGUAGGCGGGAGUGCAAGUCAGAUGUGAAAACUAUGGGCUCAACCCAUAGCCUGCAUUUGAAACUGUACUUCUUGAGUACUGGAGAGGCAGGCGGAAUUCCGUGUGUAGCGGUGAAAUGCGUAGAUAUACGGAGGAACACCAGUGGCGAAGGCGGCCUGCUGGACAGCAACUGACGCUGAGGCGCGAAAGCGUGGGGAGCAAACA
rnacentral:rRNA from 1 species